rnacentral:rRNA from 1 species
UGGGGAAUAUUGGACAAUGGGGGGAACCCUGAUCCAGCCAUGCCGCGUGUGUGAAGAAGGCCUUAUGGUUGUAAAGCACUUUAAGCGAGGAGGAGGGUACUGGUAUUAAUACUACCAGCUACUGGACGUUACUCGCAGAAUAAGCACCGGCUAACUCUGUGCCAGCAGCCGCGGUAAUACAGAGGGUGCGAGCGUUAAUCGGAUUUACUGGGCGUAAAGCGUGCGUAGGCGGCUAAUUGAGUCGGAUGUGAAAUCCCCGAGCUUAACUUGGGAAUUGCAUUCGAUACUGGUUAGCUAGAGUAUGGGAGAGGAUGGUAGAAUUCCAGGUGUAGCGGUGAAAUGCGUAGAGAUCUGGAGGAAUACCGAUGGCGAAGGCAGCCAUCUGGCCUAAUACUGACGCUGAGGUACGAAAGCAUGGGGAGCAAACAGG